rnacentral:rRNA from 1 species
GAUGAACGCUGGCGGCGUGCCUAAUACAUGCAAGUCGAGCGAACAGACCGGGACCUUGCUCCCCUGACUUUAUCGGCGGACGGGUCAGGACCUCGUGGUUAACCUACCUAUCAGACUGGGAUACCUUUGCGAAACCGGAGCUAAUACCGGAUAAUUUAUUGAACCUCAUGGUUCCAUAGUGAAAGACGGUUUUGCUUUCACUUAUAGAUUGAUCAGCGCUACAUUAGCUAGUUGGUACGGUAACGGCUUACCAAGGCAACGAUGCUUAGCCGACCCAAGAGGGACAUCGGACAGACUGGAACUGAGAAACGGCCGAGACUCCGACGGGAGGAAGCGGUAGGGAAUCUUACGGAAUGGACGAAUGGCUGACGGAGCAACGCCGCGGGAGUGAUGAAGGUCUUCGGAUCGUAAAACUCUGAUAGUAGGGAAGAACAAAUGUGUAAGUAACUAUGAACGUCUUGACGGUACCUAAUCAGAAAGCCACGGCUAACUACGUG